rnacentral:rRNA from 1 species
GAUGAACGCUGGCGGCGUGCCUAAUACAUGCAAGUCGAGCGAACAGACGAGGAGCUUGCUCCUCUGACGUUAGCGGCGGACGGGUGAGUAACACGUGGAUAACCUACCUAUAAGACUGGGAUAACUUCGGGAAACCGGAGCUAAUACCGGAUAAUAUAUUGAACCGCAUGGUUCAAUAGUGAAAGACGGUUUUGCUGUCACUUAUAGAUGGAUCCGCGCCGCAUUAGCUAGUUGGUAAGGUAACGGCUUACCAAGGCAACGAUGCGUAGCCGACCUGAGAGGGUGAUCGGCCACACUGGAACUGAGACACGGUCCCGACUCCUACGGGAGGCAGCAGUAGGGAAUCUUCCGCAAUGGGCGAAAGCCUGACGGAGCAACGCCGCGUGAGUGAUGAAGGUCUUCGGAUCGUAAAACUCUGUCAUUAGGGAAGAACAAAUGUGUAAGUAACUAUGCACGUCUUGACGGUACCUAAUCAGAAAGCCACGGCUAACUACGUG